GAACUCGAGGGGAAGGAGACACGGAUGAAAAUCCACGAGGGGCUGGGUUUGGGUGGGUUCCCAUCCCUUUCCCACUGGCAGGUGCCAGCCUGCCCAGGGGGAACAGGAGCUCUUUCCUUGGUGGCAGCCUCAAUUCUCACCCCAAAUAAUCCCAAAUUUUUGGGUUUUCUGCCCAGAGGGAACAGGAGCUCUCCUUGGUGGCAGGGCAGCCUCAAUUCUCACCCCAAUCCCAAAUUUCUGGGGUGCCUGCCCAGGGGGAAGAAGAGCUCGCUCUCCCUGGUGGCAGGGCAGCCUCAAUUCUCACCCCAAAUAAUCCCAAAUUUUUGGGUUUUCUGCCCAGAGGGAACAGGAGCUCUCCUUGUUGGCAGUGCAGCCUCAAUUCUCACCUCAAUCCCA
rnacentral:lncRNA from 1 species